GUGAGUAAAAGUGGUUGUGUAAAUAUCUUAUAAUAUGAAAUGCGAUGUUUGAUCAUUUAUUUAUCCAUGGUACGUUCAAUUUGAAUAAUUAUUGUUAAUAAUUGUUAUAAAUUGCUAAUUUUAUUGUUCUUUGUGGAUUGUAACAGUACACUCUGUACAUGGCUUUAGUUCAUAGGUUCGAUUUUACAUAGGUAUGGCAUCACAUUUGUCAAGUUAUUUGAACAGACAUGCAUGAUUUUUGUGUGUAUAUUAUUAUUAUUAUUAUUUUUCAGGAUGACAUGAUCAGGAGGUGGUGGUGUUCUGUUCUCCUGGACAGCUUCACUCCGCAAAUAGCUCAACCACUGAGGGGAGGAACUUCACCAUUCACCAUGUCUUCAGCCAGAGUCCAGCAAAGCAGCUUCCACUGGAAAUCCUCAGUGAAGUUAUUUUGUCAGCGGGUGACUCUGCAUAUUUGACUCUUUCUCUGGUUUGCAGAUGGUUUAGGGAUGUGCUCCGAAGUUUUUCGGAAAGCGGCACAGUUUGCCUGGCUAGACAUUGUGGCCAACUGGAAGAAUUGUCCUCCUGUCUCCUGACCGGAAUGAGUUCAGACGGAUGUACAGCAUCAGGGAAUGCUUGCAGUGCAGAGCCCUUUUCAAGUUUAACCCACCAGGGUACAGGGAAGAGACCGGCGUGGUGAUCUUCUGGGCUUUUGUUUACACAGGAUUUUGUUCCAAGGACUGUUUUUUUUUUUUUUUUUUUUUUUUGCGGCAUGAAACACAUUUGUGUGUUAAGUUCAUUGAAGGGAAAUAGAGAAUGGACUGAGAUCAACUGGUUUUGAUGUAUUAAUUGAUGUCAUUUAAAGUUCAACUUUGCAGUGUAUAAUGUUUUAAUAAAAAAGCUAUGGAAAACA